AGCUUUGCGCAGUGGCAGUAUCAUAGCCAAUGAGGUUUAUCCAAGGCGCGAUUAUUGCUAAUAGAAAACUUCUCCCAAUACCCUGCCGUGACGACUUUCAGUACAGUCGGCACUGGCAAUUUUUGACAGUCUCUACGGAGA
ensembl:snRNA U4 U4 spliceosomal RNA